rnacentral:lncRNA from 1 species
GGGAAACUAGCAAAGACAGAGUGUGCUACUAGGCUAUCCAAAGACAGGAACAAAAUUGCAUUAAAACACAACGACUAUGUUAGACGUCGGUUAAUGUAUACACCGACGUCUUUAGUGACAUUAGACGGCGGUUAGUGACAUGUUCGAAGUCUUUAUGUGCUCUUAGACAUCAGUUAGUGCUUACUUCGACGUCUAUAUAAUGCCCUUAGACGUUAGUGUAGGCCUACACCGACGUUUAUUAACGUCGGACAUGGCACUAACUGAUGUUUGUAUAAACGUCUGUUAUACGGAACUUCGACUUCCCAUUAACAUCAUCCGUAAUGACGUCGGUUGUGAAAAAGGCGUUAAAAGCCCAAAAUAACAUACGUCCCAAGCCCUUUCUGCACUAAUGUUAGGUCUUGAUUAGUAGCGGAGUAAAUUUACUGAAGUAUUGAAAAAACUGGAAAAGAAAAGAAAAAGUCUUGAAAUCCUGAAUUUG